AAACUGAAGAGUUUGAUCCUGGCUCAGAUUGAACGCUGGCGGCAUGCCUAACACAUGCAAGUCGAACGGUAACGAUGGGAGCUUGCUCCCAGGCGACGAGUGGCGGACGGGUGAGUAACGCGUGGAAAUCUACCUAGUAGUGGGGGACAACCCGAGGAAACUCGGGCUAAUACCGCAUAAGCCCCAAGGGGGAAAGGCUUCGGCCGCUAUUAGAUGAGUCCGCGUCCGAUUAGCUUGUUGGUAGGGUAAUGGCCUACCAAGGCAACGAUCGGUAGCUGGUCUGAGAGGACGAUCAGCCACACUGGGACUGAGACACGGCCCAGACUCCUACGGGAGGCAGCAGUGGGGAAUAUUGCACAAUGGGCGAAAGCCUGAUGCAGCAAUGCCGCGUGUGUGAAGAAGGCCUGCGGGUUGUAAAGCACUUUCGAUAGGGAAGAUUAUGACGGUACCUAUAGAAGAAGCACCGGCUAACUCCGU
rnacentral:rRNA from 1 species